AGUGAACGCUGGCGGUAGGCCUAACACAUGCAAGUCGAACGGCAGCACAGUAAGAGCUUGCUCUUACGGGUGGCGAGUGGCGGACGGGUGAGGAAUACAUCGGAAUCUACUUUUUCGUGGGGGAUAACGUAGGGAAACUUACGCUAAUACCGCAUACGACCUACGGGUGAAAGCAGGGGAUCUUCGGACCUUGCGCGAUUGAAUGAGCCGGUGUCGGAUUAGCUAGUUGGCGGGGUAAAGGCCCACCAAGGCGGCGAUCCGUAGCUGGUCUGAGAGGAUGGUCAGCCGGCCUGGGACUGAGACACGGUACAGGCUCCUACGGGAAGCGGCAGUGGGGAAUGUUGGGCAAUGGGCGCAAGCCUGAUCCAGCCAUACCGCGUGGGUGAAGAAGGCCUUGGGGUUGUAAAGCCCUUUUGUUGGGAAAGAAAAGCAGCAGGUUAAUACCCCGCUGUUCUGACGGUACCCAAAGAAUAAGCACCGGCUAACUUCGUG
rnacentral:rRNA from 1 species